CAAAUUAGGGCUGGCACAAGCGUUUUAUUUACAUUAAAAAGGUAUUUGUUAAAAUCAAUUUAAUUUGA
rnacentral:tRNA from 1 species